AGGCUGCAGUGGGGAAUUUUGGACAAUGGGGGCAACCCUGAUCCAGCCAUUCCGCGUGAGUGAAGAAGGCCUUCGGGUUGUAAAGCUCUUUCAGCAGGAACGAAACGGUGGUCCUUAAUACGGGCUACUAAUGACGGUACCUGAAGAAGAAGCACCGGCUAACUACGUGCCAGCAGCCGCGGUAAUACGUAGGGUGCGAGCGUUAAUCGGAAUUACUGGGCGUAAAGCGUGCGCAGGCGGUUUUGUAAGACAGAUGUGAAAUCCCCGGGCUUAACCUGGGAACUGCAUUUGUGACUGCAAGGCUAGAGUGUGGCAGAGGGGGGUGGAAUUCCACGUGUAGCAGUGAAAUGCGUAGAGAUGUGGAGGAACACCGAUGGCGAAGGCAGCCCCCUGGGUCAACACUGACGCUCAUGCACGAAAGCGUGGGGAGCAAACAGGAUUAGAUACCCCUGUAGUC
rnacentral:rRNA from 1 species